rnacentral:rRNA from 1 species
UACACACCGCCCGUCACACCAUGGAAGUGGGUUGCACCAGAAGUAGCUAGUCUAACCUUCGGGAGGACGGUUACCACGGUGUGAUUCAUGACUGGGGUG